AGAGUUUGAUCCUGGCUCAGAAUGAACUCUGGCGGCGUGCCUUACACAUGCAAGUCGAACGGCAGCGCGGUAGCUUACUCCUGGGGGCGAGUGGGGAACGGGUGAGUAAUAUAUCCUACCCUACCCUAGAGGGGGGGAUAACGCAACGAAAGUUGCUCUAAUACCGCAUACCAUCUACGGAGGAGGGUGGGGGAUCGCAAGACCUCAUGCUCAUGGAGCGGCCGAUAUCUGAUUAGCUAGUUGGUGGGGUAAAGGCCUACCAAGGCAUCGAUCAGUAGCUGGUCUGAGAGGACGACCAGCCACACUGGAACUGAGACACGGUCCAGACUCCUACGGGAGGCAGCAGUGGGGAAUUUUGGACAAUGGGGGCAACCCUGAUCCAGCAAUGCCGCGUGAGUGAAGAAGGCCUUCGGGUUGUAAAGCUCUUUUGUCAGGGAAGAAACGGUGAGGGCUAAUAUCCUUUGCUAAUGACGGUACCUGAAGAAUAAGCACCGGCUAACUACGUGCCAGCAGCCGCGGUAAUACGUAGGGUGCAAGCGUUAAUCGGAAUUACUGGGCGUAAAGCGUGCGCAGGCGGUUAUGUAAGUCAGAUGUGAAAUCCCCGGGCUCAACCUGGGAAUGGCAUUUGAGACUGCAUGGCUAGAGUGUGUCAGAGGGGGGUAGAAUUCCACGUGUAGCAGUGAAAUGCGUAGAGAUGUGGAGGAAUACCGAUGGCGAAGGCAGCCCCCUGGGAUAACACUGACGCUCAUGCACGAAAGCGUGGGGAGCAAACAGGAUUAGAUACCCUGGUAGUCCACGCCCU
rnacentral:rRNA from 1 species